GUAACAUAAAGAAGCUUGCUUCUUUGAUGACGAGUGGCGGACGGGUGAGUAAUGCUUGGGAAUCUAGCUUAUGGAGGGGGAUAACUACGGGAAACUGUAGCUAAUACCGCGUAAUAUCGAAAGAUUAAAGUGUGGGACCUUCGGGCCACAUGCCAUAGGAUGAGCCCAAGUGGGAUUAGGUAGUUGGUGAGGUAAAGGCUCACCAAGCCGACGAUCUCUAGCUGGUCUGAGAGGAUGACCAGCCACACUGGGACUGAGACACGGCCCAGACUCCUACGGGAGGCAGCAGUGGGGAAUAUUGCGCAAUGGGGGCAACCCUGACGCAGCCAUGCCGCGUGAAUGAAGAAGGCCUUCGGGUUGUAAAGUUCUUUCGGUAGCGAGGAAGGCAUUUAGUUUAAUAGACUAGGUGAUUGACGUUAACUACAGAAGAAGCACCGGCUAACUCCGUGCCAGCAGCCGCGGUAAUACGGAGGGUGCGAGCGUUAAUCGGAAUAACUGGGCGUAAAGGGCACGCAGGCGGUGACUUAAGUGAGGUGUGAAAGCCCCGGGCUUAACCUGGGAAUUGCAUUUCAUACUGGGUCGCUAGAGUACUUUAGGGAGGGGUAGAAUUCCACGUGUAGCGGUGAAAUGCGUAGAGAUGUGGAGGAAUACCGAAGGCGAAGGCACCCCUUGGGAAUGUACUGACGCUC
rnacentral:rRNA from 1 species